GACGAACGCUGGCGGCGUGCUUAACACAUGCAAGUCGAACGGACAGGCCCUGCUUUUGUGGGGUGCUCGAGUGGCGAACGGGUGAGUAACACGUGAGUAACCUGCCCUUGUCUUUGGGAUAACUUCAGGAAACUGGGGCUAAUACCGGAUAGGAGCUCCUGCUGCAUGGUGGGGGUUGGAAAGUGUCGGCGGUUGGGGAUGGACUCGCGGCUUAUCCGCUUGUUGGUGUGGUAGUGGCUUACCAAGGCUUUGACGGCUAGCCUGCCUGAGAGGGUGACCGGCCACAUUGGGACUGAGAUACGGCGCAGUCGCCUACGGGACGCAGCAGUGGGGAAUAUUGCACAAUGGGCGGAAGCCUGAGGCAGCAACGCCGCGUGCGGGAUGACGGCCUACGGGUUGUAAACCGCUUUCGCAUGUGACGAAGCGGGAGUGACGGUAAUGGGUAAGGAAGCACCGGCUAACUACGUG
rnacentral:rRNA from 1 species